GCUUAACCGAAGAAGUGCAUCGGAAACUGGGUGACUUGAGUGCAGAAGAGGACAGUGGAACUCCAUGUGUAGCGGUGGAAUGCGUAGAUAUAUGGAAGAACACCAGUGGCGAAGGCGGCUGUCUGGUCUGCAACUGACGCUGAGGCUCGAAAGCAUGGGUAGCGAACAGGAUUAGAUACCCUGGUAGUCCAUGCCGUAAACGAUGAGUGCUAGGUGUUGGAGGGUUUCCGCCCUUCAGUGCCGGAGCUAACGCAUUAAGCACUCCGCCUGGGGAGUACGACCGCAAGGUUGAAACUCAAAGGAAUUGACGGGGGCCCGCACAAGCGGUGGAGCAUGUGGUUUAAUUCGAAGCUACGCGAAGAACCUUACCAGGUCUUGACAUCUUGCGCUAACCUAAGAGAUUAGGCGUUCCCUUCGGGGACGCAAUGACAGGUGGUGCAUGGUCGUCGUCAGCUCGUGUCGUGAGAUGUUGGGUUAAGUCCCGCAACGAGCGCAACCCUUGUUACUAGUUGCCAGCAUUCAGUUGGGCACUCUAGUGAGACUGCCGGUGACAAACCGGAGGAAGGUGGGGAUGACGUCAGAUCAUCAUGCCCCUUAUGACCUGGGCUACACACGUGCUACAAUAGUCGGUACAACG
rnacentral:rRNA from 1 species